UGGCGUGCGCACGUUCCGCGACACUUUCAACGUCAUUUCCGCCUGGAGACGUGGGCGGGACUCCUAUAAAAGGCUCUGCUCCAGGCCGCACCCAGUAUUUCAAUAGCGGCAAUCGGGUUGGACUCACCGUUGAUACGGGAGCGCAUUCGUAUUUUGCAGGGUUCGAAAGAGAGGUUACCUGAAAGAGGAGCGACACAGAGCGAGUCGGCGGCAGCAAGAUGCCAACCAUCAGUGACGAGGACAGAAAGGCUGCCACGUUCGGGACGGCCAUAUCGGCCGGAGUAUUGCUCCCAGCAGCUGCGGCUGCUGGUCCCUUUGCACCGCUGGUGGCAACAAUUGGACUAGCAAUGGCUGGUAUCGGAUGCCUUGCAGGAUUCAUUACUGUUCAGGCCCUACCAAGCGAUGAAAAAAAAAAGUAACAGGCACAUCAAAGAAUUGAAACCGUAAGGCGCCUGAAGGCAAAUGACCGAUGUCUCGCUUCUAAGGGGCCACCUGCAUAAGAAAUGGAAGAGCAAGCCAACGUAGUGUAGAAAGGCCUAUUUGUGAUUUCUGGAAUUAUCUAAACGCUUUGAUGACAUUUUUUGUUAAUAAUAAAAAUGAGGCGUGUCGUACCACA